CAUGUUAUUUUUUUUAAUUUCAUUUUUGUUUAGAUCUAUGAAAUGGUGGACAGAUCAAAUAUUUAAGGGGUCUUGAAGAUCAAAUGCAAUAAGAGCUCAUUAUUGAAGAGUAAAGUGCAUAAGCUAUGAUUUUUUCUCCACUCUCUUGCUCUCUAAUGGCUAUUCACAUUCAAACACAAUUAUAGCAAGAUUUAACCAUUGCCAUUUUUUGCAACAAUCAAUUCAACACAUUAAAUCACUCCAACUUGAUGAAUAUGAGUGGAAAUGCAUAUGGUGUCGUGAUAAAGUAACUGUGACUUAGGAAUUGAUACUGACAGCCUAAUAGUAAGUAUGUGUAAUGAGAUCUUUAGUUUGAUUACAUUUUUUAUAUCCAAAGUGUA